GACGAACCGUGCGAACGUUGUUCGGAAUCACUGGGCUUAAAAGGGCGCGUAGGCGGGCAAGCAAGUCGAAGGUGAAAUCCCACAGCUUAACUGUGGAAGUGCCCCCGAUACUGCUUGUCUGGAGGGAGAUAGGGGCGUGCGGAACUUCCGGUGGAGCGGUGAAAUGCGUAGAUAUCGGAAGGAACACCGGUGGCGAAAGCGGCACGCUGGAUCUCUACUGACGCUGAGGUGCGAAAAGCGUGGGGGAGCGAAACAGG
rnacentral:rRNA from 1 species